AGGUGUCCAGGCUGAAUCACACAAAG
rnacentral:piRNA from 1 species